CUGCGAAUACUCUCGCUGCUCUGACUCUGUAAUAAUGAGGACAGGCUAAACAUCCGCUAUAUUACGACCACGCAUGUGUCCCCAGACGUAGUUCUUU
rfam:Tupaia chinensis contig71501, whole genome shotgun sequence.